rnacentral:rRNA from 1 species
AUCCAGCCAUGCCGCGUGUCUGAAGAAGGCCUUCGGGUUGUAAAGGACUUUUGUCAGGGAGGAAAUUCCUAGCGCUAAUAUCGCUGGGGGAUGACAGUACCUGAAGAAUAAGCACCGGCUAACUACGUGCCAGCAGCCGCGGUAAUACGUAGGGUGCAAGCGUUAAUCGGAAUUACUGGGCGUAAAGCGUGCGCAGGCGGUUGUGUAAGUCUGAUGUGAAAGCCCCGGGCUUAACCUGGGAACUGCAUUGGAGACUGCACAGCUAGAGUGCGUCAGAGGGGGGUAGAAUUCCGCGUGUAGCAGUGAAAUGCGUAGAGAUGCGGAGGAAUACCGAUGGCGAAGGCAGCCCCCUGGGAUGACACUGACGCUCAUGCACGAAAGCGUGGGGAGCAAACAGGAUUAGAUACCCUGGUAGUCCACGCCCUAAACGAUGUCAACUAGCUGUUGGGGGUUUGAAUCCUUGGUAGCGUAGCUAACGCGAGAAGUUGACCGCCUGGGGAGUACGGCCGCAAGGUUAAAACUCAAAGGAAUUGACGGGGACCCGCACAAGCGGUGGAUGAUGUGGAUUAAUUCGAUGCAACGCGAAAAACCUUACCUGGUCUUGACAUGUACAGAACUUUCCAGACAUGGAUUGGUGCCCAAAAGGGAGCUGUAACACAGGUGCUGCAUGGCUGUCGUCAGCUCGUGUCGUGAGAUGUUGGGUUGAGUCCCGCAACGAGCGCAACGGGGGGCGAUUAGUUGCUACCAUUCACUUGAGCACUCUAAUGGGACUGCCGGUGACAAACCGGAAGGAGGUGCGUAUAACGUCAAGUCCUCAUGGCGCUUAUGACCAGGGGCUUCACACGUCAUACAGUGGUCGGUACAGAGGGUAACCAAC